CAAUAGCGUAUAUUAAAGUUGUUGCAGUUAAAAAGCUCGUAGUUGGAUUUCUGGUAGGAGUGACCGUUCCGAACUUGAUUGUUCGUGUAUUGUGUUUUCUCCAGCCAUCCUUGUGGAGAACUUUUCUUGCAUUAAUUUGUAGGGAUUGGGACCCGCAUCGUUUACUGUGAAAAAAUUAGAGUGUUUAAAGCAGGCAAUCGCUUGAAUACAUUAGCAUGGAAUAAUAAGAUAGGACUUUGGUACUAUUUUGUUGGUUUGCAUACCAAAUUAAUGAUCAACAGGAACAGUUUGAGGAUAUUCGUAUGAACAUGUCAGAGGUGAAAUUCUUGGAUUUUGAUCAGACGAACUACUGCGAAAGUAUUUAUCAAGGAUGUUUUCAUUAA
rnacentral:rRNA from 1 species